rnacentral:snRNA from 1 species
GGAGUCUACGAAUGAAGGC